CAGUCAGGAGACAACCAAAGCCUGUUUCAACAUCUCCCACUACACAGGGAAGUAAAUAACCUGCUGUGACGGCUGGGGAGUCAGGUAGAAGCAUGCAAGAGAAACCCAAGAAACAGGGCAGCAGGUAGGCACGGGCAAGCUCACUGGGUUCAAAGCGUGUCUUCACUCUUGAGUUCUUUGUUGCCCUUGUCAGCACUCUUGAUCCCGUCUGCCUACCCAGCCCAUGUGACUGCCAGCAUUUAAUCAAGAGCUCACUCUUAGCAUCCUGGUCCUUCAGCAAGAGGGGCUGAGAAUGGAGAAAGUAUUCAUCACCAUCAUAGGUGCCAGAGCUGCAGUGACAAAUCCAUCAGGCAAAGCUGCUGCCCUUGUGGAAUUUACAUACAAUAAAGAGACAAAAUGCUCUCGCAAACAAGGGUAGCCAUGGACGGCCAUGAGGCAGGCGCUGAGGGGUCACCAUACCUGGCAGCCAUCCAGGGGAAACCAGACGGAGCAAGAAAGUGACAGCAGCAAUGUAGACAUGGGUCCGAGGAGCGGCCUGAUGUGAGACAUGCCGAGACCAGCUUCUAGACCCUCCGACAUGAGACAUGCCGAGACCAGCUUCUAGACCCUCCAACGUGAGACAUGUCGAGACCAGCUUCUAGACCCUCCAACGACAGCCCAGUGGUUAACAUAGGAAAUGUGUGCUCAUUUGCAAUGAGUAAGGUUGUACAUAGUCCCUGUUAAGUUCACGGCUUCAUGUUCUUAUCUAGAGGCAAGACAUCGUGAAAACCCAGAUCUUGGCUCAUUGAUGUUUAAAAUAAGAACAUUGGAUUAAAUGUGCAAGAUCUCUCUAAA